AUGACUGGUCCGGGAGAGACCGCUGCGGCGGCGCCGAAGGGGAAUGCAGAAGCUCUCAGGCAAAAGGGUCGGACCACGACG
rnacentral:ncRNA from 2 species